rnacentral:rRNA from 1 species
UACGGAGGGGGCGAGCGUUAUUCGGAAUUAUUGGGCGUAAAGGGCGCGUAGGCGGCUUGAUGUGUCAAAGGUGAAAUCCCUCGGCUCAACUGAGGAACUGCCUUUGAAACUGUCUGGCUUGAGGCCGGGAGAGGGUAGCGGAAUUCCAGGUGUAGCGGUGAAAUGCGUAGAUAUCUGGAGGAACACCGGUGGCGAAGGCGGCAUUCUGGACCGAUAUUGACGCUGAGGAGCGAAAGCCAGGGGAGCAAACGGG